GCACAUCAUAAUCUAGCGGUUAGGAUGACCCCCUGGAGUCAGGAAGGCCCAGGUUCAAAUUCUGGUCCUGGCA